GUCCGGGUGGUGGAAUGGCAGACACCGUCGACUUAAAAUCGACUGCCGCAAGGCGUGCGGGUUCGAAUCCCGCCCCGGGCA
rnacentral:tRNA from 1 species